GGGUAAGAACCUCACCUAUCUUGAUAUGUAGGUGGGGUUGUGAUAUAUUGUGCCCAGUGGGCCACUUUUGGUAAGCAGAACUGGCGCUGUGGGAUGAACCAAACGCAAUGUUACGGUGCCAAAAUUUACAACUCAUGCAGAUACCAUGAAAGGCGUUGCUUGCUUAAAACAGCAGGACGGUGGACAUGGAAGUCGUAAUCCGCUAAGGAGUGUGUAACAACUCACCUGCCGAAGCAACUAGCCCUUAAAAUGGAUGGCGCUUAAGUUGUAUACCUAUACAUUGCCGCUAAUGUAAAUGGUUUAUAUGAAAUUUCGGUUUCAUAUAAGUUUUGAAACAUUAGUGAGUAGGAGGGUACAAUGGUGUGCCUAGAAGUGUUUGG
rnacentral:rRNA from 1 species